rnacentral:rRNA from 1 species
CCUACGGGAGGCAGCAGUGGGGAAUCUUGCGCAAUGGGCGAAAGCCUGACGCAGCGACGCCGCGUGUGGGAUGAAGGCCUUCGGGUUGUAAACCACUGUCGGGAGGGACGCGGUACCUCCAAAGGAAGCACCGGCUAACUCCGUGCCAGCAGCCGCGGUAAUACGGAGGGUGCGAGCGUUGUCCGGAAUCACUGGGCGUAAAGGGCGCGUAGGCGGCCCGGUAAGUAGGAGGUGAAAUCCUGAGGCUCAACCUCAGGGCUGCCUUCUAAACUGCCAGGCUCGAGCACAGUAGAGGCAGGUGGAAUUCCCGGUGUAGCGGUGGAAUGCGUAGAGAUCGGGAAGAACAUCGGUGGCGAAGGCGGCCUGCUGGGCUGUGCUGACGCUGAGGCGCGACAGCGUGGGGAGCAAACAGGAUUAGAUACCCUUGUAGUC